UCAUCAAGUAUAUUACGCGGCAUGGUAUUAGAGCAAGUUGCCAAAUCUGGCUGCCAUGACAAUUGGUGAUGGUGAUGGUAUUGUUUUGGUGACCUGCUCUGAUACCAUGUUGUGAAAUAUUUUUAAUGCA